UCCUACGGGAGGCAGCAGUAGGGAAUCUUCCGCAAUGGACGAAAGUCUGACGGAGCAACGCCGCGUGAGUGAUGAAGGUUUUCGGAUCGUAAAACUCUGUUGUUAGGGAAGAACAAGUACCGUUCGAAUAGGGCGGUACCUUGACGGUACCUAACCAGAAAGCCACGGCUAACUACGUGCCAGCAGCCGCGGUAAUACGUAGGUGGCAAGCGUUGUCCGGAAUUAUUGGGCGUAAAGCGCGCGCAGGCGGUUUCUUAAGUCUGAUGUGAAAGCCCCCGGCUCAACCGGGGAGGGUCAUUGGAAACUGGGGAACUUGAGUGCAGAAGAGGAGAGUGGAAUUCCACGUGUAGCGGUGAAAUGCGUAGAGAUAUGGAGGAACACCAGUGGCGAAGGCGACUUUCUGGUCUGUAACUGACACUGAGGCGCGAAAGCGUGGGGAGCAAACAGGAUUAGAUACCCUGGUAGUCCACGCCGUAAACGAUGAGUGCUA
rnacentral:rRNA from 1 species